AUUGAACGCUGGCGGCAUGCCUUACACAUGCAAGUCGAACGGUAACGCGGGGCAACCUGGCGACGAGUGGCGAACGGGUGAGUAAUGUAUCGGAACGUGCCCAGUUGUGGGGGAUAACUGCUCGAAAGAGCAGCUAAUACCGCAUACGACCUGAGGGUGAAAGCGGGGGAUCGCAAGACCUCGCCCAAUUGGAGCGGCCGAUAUCAGAUUAGGGAGUUGGUGAGGUAAAGGCGCACCAAGCCGACGAUCUGUCGCUGGUCUGAGAGGACGACCAGCCACACUGGGACUGAGACACGGCCCAGACUCCUACGGGAGGCAGCAGUGGGGAAUUUUGGACAAUGGACGCAAGUCUGAUCCAGCCAUGCCGCGUGCGGGAAGAAGGCCUUCGGGUUGUAAACCGCUUUUGUCAGGGAAGAAACGCUCUGGGUUAAUACCUCGGGGUAAUGACGGUACCUGAAGAAUAAGCACCGGCUAACUACGUGCCAGCCGCCGCCGUAACAC
rnacentral:rRNA from 1 species